rnacentral:rRNA from 1 species
AGUGGGGAAUAUUGCACAAUGGGCGCAAGCCUGAUGCAGCCAUGCCGCGUGUGUGAAGAAGGCCUUCGGGUUGUAAAGCACUUUCAGUGGUGAGGAAGGUCAGUAAGUUAAUAACUUGCUGAAUUGACGUUAGCCACAGAAGAAGCACCGGCUAACUCCGUGCCAGCAGCCGCGGUAAUACGGAGGGUGCAAGCGUUAAUCGGAAUUACUGGGCGUAAAGCGUACGUAGGCGGUGUGUUAAGCAAGAUGUGAAAGCCCCGGGCUCAACCUGGGAAUUGCAUUUUGAACUGGCACGCUAGAGUCCUGAAGAGGGUGGUAGAAUUUCCAGUGUAGCGGUGAAAUGCGUAGAUAUUGGAAGGAAUACCAGUGGCGAAGGCGGCCACCUGGUCAGAGACUGACGCUGAGGUACGAAAGCGUGGGGAGCAAA